rnacentral:rRNA from 1 species
UACGUAGGGUGCAAGCGUUGUCCGGAAUUAUUGGGCGUAAAGGGCUCGUAGGCGGUCCGUCACGUCGGGUGUGAAAGCCCGGGGCUUAACCCCGGGUCUGCAUUCGAUACGGGCUCGCUAGGGUCCUGCAGGGGAGACUGGAAUUCCUGGUGUAGCGGUGAAAUGCGCAGAUAUCAGGAGGAACACCGGUGGCGAAGGCGGGUCUCUGGGCAGGUACCGACGCUGAGGAGCGAAAGCGUGGGGAGCGAACAGG